rnacentral:lncRNA from 1 species
CAUUUUGGGGCAUGCUACCAAGAGCUGAAAGGAGCUGGAGGCAGUGCCAACAUCUGAAUUGUCCUCAGCUCCUGGGGGUCCCAUGCCAUGCGUGGGUUCCCCCCCUGCCUGUGCUGCAUCCUGGGGGUAUUAGGAUGGAAUAAGGGAGCUCAUUCCAUGAGCUGUCACCAGCCAAAUCCCCUUCAGCGCGGCAGCAUUUCCCUGGCCCCACAGAUCCUGUAGAUGUUUGGAUAUGGGUCCUGGAAUCGUGAGAACUCCCAGUCCCUUGGCACAUCCCUCUGAAUCACUGACGUUCGGUGGCCACCUCCACCCAUGCCUGUCCCCUGCCUGCUCCCUCGCCGGGUGUCAGUUCUCGAGCCUACGUGCUGAGAAGAAAAGUUAAAAAGGUUAGUCCUGAUGUAGGGUGCUUUGGCACUCAACUGGCCAUGGGGAGGACAGAGGAAUGCAGGGCUGCACAGUGUUGGUGCUACUGCCCUCCGCAGUGUCCCCAGCCAACAUGGAAGGAGCAGAGGAUGGAUGGCCCCAGGUACCCCCUGUGAUACCAGAAGUGCUCGUGGGAGCAUUUCACACAUCUCUGACCUGCAGAGGAUGAAGGACUCUUCCCCAUACUCAAGGUAAAGCUAUUUGAUAUCAUUCACUGUGUAUCCAGUUUAGUGCUUGGUUCAUUGACCAAAGUGAUGUUGCUGUGGUAUUCUUGUCAAGGAGUGGUGAUGCUCGUUGCCCACAGUGGCAAACCAUAAACCCAGAGAGCCAGCUCUGGUAUUUUCCUAUUCUAAGGCAUUGGUUUGUUGGGCUAAAUGGUAGCUGGAUCUGGCAUUGGCUUGCUUGGUGUACAUGAAGACCUUCAGAAGACACAUGUGUGGGUAUCUGCAUUACUCCAACCUGAUUUUUAAGUAGAAAGGGUAUGUCACUUGCUUUAAGAGGAGAACAUUGUAAAUAAGUUCUUCUCGCAUAUGAUGUUCUAAGGGUUUCUGAAGCUGAAGGGAGCCUUGUCCACUCCUGCUUACAGCCUGGGUGUGCGUCUCCUUGCUGCUGGAUCCCCUCCAGCAUCUGUUCCUCCUGAAUGCUCCUUCUAUUGGAGCAUUGGUACCCUUGUGCUGGGUACCAUGUUCUUGUACUUCAGGCUCUCA